AAACCGACACUAAUACUUCACUGUUGGUUCAUGGCCUGAACCAAUAAUGAUAUUAUGUAAAAAACUCCAAUACUUUCUCAUAUGAUGUCUAAUGAAGAUGAACUUUAUAUCAAAGUUGUAUUACCAGACGAGAUCUACAACCCUAUAGUUUUUUUGGAUUUGAGAUAAUUUGAAUGUCCAAAUAUACACCACAAGAUUUUGUAGAGUUAAUACCAAAGGAGUCCAUAUGAUCCAUAGUCAUAAGUGAGUGUGAAGUGGUAGUUAAU
rnacentral:lncRNA from 1 species